CCCAAUGAUUGAUACUGAAAUUUUUACAAUAAUGAGACAGCAACAUUUUAUCAACCCUUCGGCCGUUCCGUUGCGAUCAAUAAUAGCCAACCAUUUAGAGUCAUCCGUGGUGGUUGUUGUGCACUUUAGUUUAUACUUAGGCGGCAAAUUUCCCGAGUACUUUGCACGACACUCCUCCUCCCAUUCUUUGGGAUGGGCUUUUUUCCUAUGACUAUGCAUAUUGGCAUUGGAAUUAAAGGUUUUAGGACAGUAGGAACAUGUAUAUAAAAUUGUACCCGUGUGAGUGGCCAUAUGUUCCUGUAAAACAAAGCUUAUAUAUUUAAUAUUCUAUUGAUGAUAGUAAGUUUGAAAAAUGGCAUACCUUUAGGGUACUUGAUCUCUUGUAAGCCUUUUCACACAUGGUACAUUUAAAAUCGUAACCCAA